rnacentral:tRNA from 1 species
GGGGGAGGGGCUCGGUGGUAGCGCGCAUGCCUAGCAUGCAUAAGGUCCUGGGUUCAAUCCCCAGUACCUUCA